UAAGGGCGCACGGUGGAUGCCUUGGCACUAGAAGCCGAUGAAGGACGUUACUAACGACGAUAUGCUUUGGGGAGCUGUAAGUAAGCUUUGAUCCAGAGAUUUCCGAAUGGGGAAACCCAGCAUGAGUUAUGUCAUGUUAUCGAUAUGUGAAUACAUAGCAUAUCAGAAGGCACACCCGGAGAACUGAAACAUCUUAGUACCCGGAGGAAGAGAAAGAAAAUUCGAUUCCCUUAGUAGCGGCGAGCGAAACGGGAAGAGCCCAAACCAACAAGCUUGCUUGUUGGGGUUGUAGGACACUCUAUACGGAGUUACAAAGGACGACAUUAGACGAAUCAUCUGGAAAGAUGAAUCAAAGAAGGUAAUAAUCCUGUAGUCGAAAAUGUUGUCUCUCUUGAGUGGAUCCUGAGUACGACGGAGCACGUGAAAUUCCGUCGGAAUCUGGGAGGACCAUCUCCUAAGGCUAAAUACUCUCUAGUGACCGAUAGUGAACCAGUACCGUGAGGGAAAGGUGAAAAGCACCCCGGGAGGGGAGUGAAAUAGAACCUGAAACCGUGUGCUUACAAGUAGUCAGAGCCCGU
rnacentral:rRNA from 1 species